CGACCAGCGACAUGGCAUUUGCACUGCUGAGGAGAAUGUGAGCUAAUGAAAGUGUAAAGCCUGUGUUCACUAGAGUAUAAAAUUCACAUUUGGCCUCAACCGGCUGUGCAAUCUGAUAUUAUGAGCCCUGCUGCAGAGAGAGCGAAGGCUCCAAGUAGCACUCAAAAAAGAUCCAGCGAGGCAAAAAGAAGAGAGGGACACACUGCCGAAGUGCUUUUAGCUAAAAUGGUUUUGAGGCAGCGACAGCAGGACGAGGCGUUGGCUCGUUUUGCUGUGGUCUGCGUGACACGCUGUAACCCGUGGAGUUCACGUAUAACACAGAGGCACAGCUCAUCACAGGGGCUCAGCCUAAAAGAAAGAAGAGGUGCCAGAGAUGAGCCGCAUGCUAAGAUGAUCCCGAUACUCUGACCCUUGAAUGAAGCCUCGAGGCGCAGUUGUGGCUGACGGCGGAGAUCGAGGAGAAAAAAAUCACAGCAGCAGCUCCGCAACUCGACUACAGCAGCUUUGGACUGGCGGCGAAAUGGUCCUUAAAAACCUCACACAGAUCUGCAACUAUUAAAAAAUAGUUUCAUAUUUUAUUCAUUCAUUAACACUGAAUUUGGGAAAAAUGUCAAAUAUUGCAUGUAUGUGUCAUUUUGUAUUCUUUUCACAGUAUGUUUUUAGGAUUUAAAAACAGCAUCAUCUAUAGCAGUUUUUGCUUGUGAGAGAAAAAUUCCAAAUAAAUAAAAAUGUGCACCAAUUAAAAAAUCCAUCAAACCAAA